rnacentral:rRNA from 1 species
AACGAACGCUGGCGGCACGCCUCAUACAUGCAAGUCGAGCGCGAAACCACCUUCGGGUGAUGUAGAGCGGCGAACGGGUGAGUAACAGGUGGGUAAUCUGCCCUUUGGCGGGGGACGAACAGCUGGAAACGGCUGCUAAUACCGCAUGUGAUUGUGGACUUAUGGUCUGCAAGGAAAGGCGCCUCAAAGCGCCACCAAAGGAUGAGCCCGCCCCCCAUUAGCUAGUUGGUGAGAUAACAGCUCACCAAGGCAUCGAUGGGUAGCCGAGCUGAGAGGUUGAUCGGCCACACUGGAACUGAGACACGGUCCAGACACCUACGGGUGGCAGCAGUAGGGAAUAUUGCGCAAUGGGCGAAAGCCUGACCCAGCAACGCCGCGUGAAGGAUGAAGUAUUCGGUAUGUAACUUCGAAAGAAUAGGAAGAAUUAAUGACGGUACUAUUUAUAAGGUCCGGCUAACUACGUGCCAGCAGCCGCGGUAAACGCA